rnacentral:rRNA from 1 species
AUUGAACGCUGGCGGCAGGCCUAACACAUGCAAGUCGAACGAGUGGCGGACGGGUGAGUAAUGUGUGGGAAACCGCCUGGUGGGGGGGGAACACUACUGGAAACGGUCGCUAAUACCGCAUACUCUAGGAUGAGCCGAGAUGGGAUGGGCUGGUGGGGGGGGUAACGGCGCACCGAGGGGACGAUCCCUAGCUGGUCUGAGAGGAUGACCAGCCACACUGGAACUGAGACACGGUCCAGAUUCCUACGGGAGGCAGCAGUGGGGAAUAUGGCACAAUGGGCGCAAGCCUGAUGCAGCCAUGCCGGGUGUGUGAAGAAGGCCUUCGGGUUGUAAAGUACUUUCAGCGGGGAGGCGUUACCCGCAGAAGAAGCACCGGCUAACUCCGUGCCAGCAGCCGCGGUAAUUC